AUACGGAGGAUGCAAGCGUUAUCCGGAUUUAUUGGGUUUAAAGGGUGCGUAGGCGGAUGAUUAAGCGUGAGGUGAAAGCUCGGGGCUCAACCCCGGAACUGCCUCGCGAACUGGUUGUCUUGAAUGUCCGUGCCGUGGGAGGAAUGUGUGGUGUAGCGGUGAAAUGCAUAGAGAUCACACAGAACACCGAUUGCGAAGGCAUCUCACGAACGGAUGAUUGACGCUGAGGCACGAAAGCGUGGGGAUCAAACAGGAUUAGAUACCCUGGUAGUCCACGCAGUAAACGAUGAUAACUAACCGCUGGGCAUUCGUGUUCAGUGGCCAAGCGAAAGCGAUAAGUUAUCCACCUGGGGAGUACGACCGCAAGGUUGAAACUCAAAUGAAUUGGCGGGG
rnacentral:rRNA from 1 species